GGUCUCCAACUUAGUCUUUUUACUUGCAAAGGGCACCUCCUCAUUUCCCAUCAGGUUUUCAGAUACCUUGCUUCAAGUAUAAAUAAAAAUUACAUAAAAAUAAAAUCAUGAUGUAUAUACUGGUCCCAGAAAGAAUGGGCAACAGUGGCAAAUGAGAAAAACAAUAAAAAUAAAAAUAAUGGCAAAGCACUAUGGAUGAAAACCAUUAAGUUGACAGGCGCACCUUUGACUGUGUCCCUGUGGGCACAUGUUCAUUGAUUUGCUGGGAAGAUCAAUUGAGCAGAGCAAGGAUUGUGGUUCACAUCAAUUUAGCAGAGCAAGGUUUGUGGUUCACAUCAAUUGAGCAGAGGAAGGAUUAAACAAAUCUAUGAAAAAGAUAGGUCGCCUAAAAAUACUCGCUUAGAGCUUAGUUUUUUUGUUUGCAGAAGGCACCUCAUCAUCUACUGGCAGUUGUUUACUUGAUUUGCUUCAAGGAUAAACAAUUAUUUCAAUCUACCCUAGACUACAGAGAUAACUACAUUAUUUUAGCCUCAAACAUGAAGGCUAUUGAAACCUGCAUCUUAAUAACACAACAUUGGCGGUCCACUAAGACUGCUUAGCCAGAUGAAUCAUGAGCUUACCAAGGAAUCCAUAUAGUUGUACCAAUUUAUUUUAUUGUGUCCCAGUUACAUAAUUUCUUUUGACACCGUCCCAGUUAAAGAUGGUUCUCAUGGGUGAGCAAGUGGCACAACAUUUUCUUUGCAGAAGAAGUAAGCACUACUUUUAGACAUCAGUUUUACCAAGCAAUUAUAUUUCAAUCCAACCUAGCCACCAAACUCUGCUAUUCUAGCAUAAAAAGGCAAACAUACUAUGAUAGGCUCCUGGAAUCUACAUCUCGUCUACCAAAACAUACACAUGACCACCAUUAGCCAACUGGAGAGAGGGAGAGACCUGAUAUCUUGUGAGAGCACCUCAAACCAAACUAUGUUGUUUUAGCCUAAAAGGGCAAACAAAAUAUGAGAGUUGUUGUUCUCAAAUAUUACCACACGCAUGGGCUGCUGUAUAAAUGAAGAUGCAUAUUGGCAUGUCUAUCUCAAACUAUCAAUACCUAGACACUAAUGUCUGGCUUGUCCGCAAUACACUAUACCUGAUGCAAUAGUUUAUCUCUGAAAUGUCCAUGUGUUGUUGGCCCAAAGGUCGUCACUGCAGACCAAGCACACCUGAAGAGAGGUCAUUCAAUCUUCAGAGGGAUAAAACGAACCAAAAUCAAGCAAAUCGUAGCUAUUAUAUGCACUGCUUAUGAUGGCACAUAAUGCGUUGUGCAUUCUAUGCACUUCAAUGGGAACCCAAAUUGUUUUUGCUCCAUUUACUUGAUUUAAGGCCUGGCUGCAUGCACACGUACCUAUCUGCGUGACGGCUCCGAUGAACUGCACGCUAGAGUGGAGGCCACGCUCGAGUUGUCCGACUGCCAGUGUCAGGGCCGUGCUUGCCUUUAGAGCUCAACAUACACCUUUCAAUAUAGCUCAUCUUGCUUGGUGUUGUCCUCUCUAUAAGCACAUUAUAGUACUAUUUC
rnacentral:lncRNA from 1 species